CAUGCGCCUGUAGUCCCAGCUGCUGGGGAGGCUGAAGCAGGAGAAUGGUGUGAACCUGGGAGGCAGAGCUUGCAGUGAGCCAAGAUCGUGCCACUGCACUCCAGCCUGGGUGACAAAGCAAGACUCCGUCUCAAAAAAAAAAAAAAAAAAAAAAAAGAAUUUUAGUAUUGCUAGUCAUAAUUCUUUGACUUUUCCUCCUAUUUCCCACCUCUUUUAGGUGGAGGUUCCAGUUUACUAAAUGGAAACAUUUCUUCUGAGAGGAUCUGUUCCCUGGAUCUACUUAAAAAGCUCAGGGUUAAAUGAGAAGGACCUAACCCUUCUCAUAUAGCCCACCAAGGCUUGUAUCAAGAACAUUAGAUUACUUCCAUGAUUGCUUUUAAUUCUGACAGUCCAUGAAAUGGUCAUAAGAUCUUGCUGUUGCCUUGAUCAUAG
rnacentral:lncRNA from 10 species